GCUGCUAUGUAUAUUAUUGCAAAUUGAUCCUUUUAGCUUUUUUUUUUUGGGGUUUGAAUAUUGGUAACGCAACUAGAGUUCCGCCCCUUGCAAUGCACGGGUGAGAACGGGACGCCAGAUAACUGGAGUCUGGAGGAGAGUCGGGGUCCCUUGUCCUUCUCGAAUCCCGUCACCGCCUCCGUUCUUAUUCGAUGCCGGCGGUCUAAUUAUCCCCCCGCGAUCCGCCGCCUCCGCUCCCCUCGACCUCGACCGCUGCCCCCUCUCAUCGCCGCCUGCGUCGCAUCCUGCACCGCCGACGGCCCCGCCGAUCACGAACUCCCCCACAAGGUACCUCCUUUCUCCUUCUUCCACUCCUCCUCCCAAAGUCAGGGUUUUGGUCUUGAAACCGCAUGAGUUUCUCGGAUAAUGAAGGUUGUGGAGACGGCGGCGGUCAUCUAUCAGCAGCGGCAGAAUCAGGGGAGCUGGCAGAGGAAGAGGGCCGUUUUUGGGGUCUGGAUCGGAUUAGGCGGUGGAGGUAUGGUCGUGGCCAGGGGAUGGGUGUUCACUAUGUUUGUGGCGGGGCGGUGGAGGUAUGGUCGUGGCCAGGAGUCGGGGGCCUAUGCGCGAUGUGGGUCGAAGAUUUGCUCGGUUAUGAGGGCCGUUAUGCCCAUUCAGACGCUCGCUUCAGCUUUUGGAAUUUUGAACUUCAUGGGCUCUGUUUGGAGGCCUUGUUGAGUCUAUUAUUACACGUGAUGCUGAUGUUAAAGAUUCUGGAUCAGUCAGACGUGGACAUGGUAAAGCAUAUGUAGUGUACUAUGAUUAAUGGUGGAGAGCUGUAGCUUCUGUUGAUUCUUGAAUAGCAUAUGAUGCUGGUUAGGCUUCUAUCCUACAAGCUUGUUGGAGGCAUACUCAAUAGAGUGGAUGGCUAUGUGUUCAUGGGCGCACUAUAUUAGUCUGUGAAAUUGCCUGACCACUCUUUGGUAUUUCAUUUCCAUCAAAUCAGUUUCUGGGGACAGUUUAAAGUUUUCUGCUUGCCCUGUGCAUCAGAACAUGAACCUGAAUCUAACAAAUUGCAAAAUAGGUGGAAAAAGAAGAAUCCACGCUUCUGAAGCAAGGAUGUUGGCAGCAAUGGUGAACAAAUCCUUCAAUUAGAGGCAUCCUGUUCUAAUUCUUUAGUGAAGGACAUGUCAAUACUACAGGAAAUGUAGAUGUUGUCAAUGUGAAUCUGAUAUUUGUGCAAUGGAGUUUUCCAGCUUCACUGAUUAAACUGUGAGGUCUGAGACACUGUACAUAAUUUGUUUCUUGGAGCAGCAGUUGUACUUGAAGAUUCUUUAAUGUAGUCAGGGCAGCCUGAUGAGAACAAUGGGUAUAUACCAUGAGGAGGAUUACUUGGUUCUAUUAUACAACUGUUGCAAGGGUUUUGCGGUGACA